rnacentral:rRNA from 1 species
AUACGUAGGGUGCGAGCGUUAAUCGGAAUUACUGGGCGUAAAGCGUGCGCAGGUGGUUUUGUAAGUCAGAUGUGAAAUCCCCGGGCUUAACCUGGGAACUGCGUUUGAAACUGCAAGGCUAGAGUGUGGCAGAGGGGGGUGGAAUUCCGCGUGUAGCAGUGAAAUGCGUAGAUAUGAGGAGGAACACCGAUGGCGAAGGCAGCCCCCUGGGUCAGCACUGACGCUCAGGCACGAAAGCAUGGGGAGCAAACAGGAUUAGAUACCCGGGUAGUCC